rnacentral:rRNA from 1 species
UCAGAGGAAGGGACGGCUAAUUACGUGCCAGCAGCCGCGGUAAUACGUAGUCCCGAGCGUUGCGCGAUGUUACUGGGCGUAAAGCGUCCGUAGCUGGUUUCGUAAGCGGAUUGUCAAAGCCCGAAGCUCAACUUCGGCAAGGCAUUCCGAACUGCGUUACUUGAGUCCUGUUCAGGUAGGCGGAAUUCCCGGUGUAGCGGUGAGAUGCGUAGAUAUCGGGAGGAACACCAGUGGCGAAGGCGGCCUACUGGGACGGUACUGACGGUCAUGGACGAAAGCUGGGGGAGCAAACCGGAUUAGAUACCCGGGUAGUCCCAGUCGUAAACGAUGGAUGUUAGGUGUAGUGAUAACUUCGCUGCACCCCAGCUAACGCGUUAAACAUCCCGCCUGGGGAGUACGGGCGCAAGCCUGAAACUCAAAGGAAUUGGCGGGGGCCCGCACAACCGGUGGAGCGUCUGGUUUAAUUCGAUGCUACCGAAAAACCUUACCAGGGUUUGAAAUGGUAGGAAAGGCUGUCGAAAGAUAGCCGUGUUUCCCUUUUGGGAGAAAUCCUACCACAGGUGGUGCAUGGCCGUCGUCAGCUCGUGUUGUGAGAUGUUGGGUUAAGUCCCGCAACGAGCGCAACCCUUGUCCUUAUUUGCCUCCUCUUAUGAGGUGCUCUAUAAGGAGACUGCCGGCGACAAGCCGGAGGAAGGAGGGGACGACGUCAGGUCAGUAUGCCCUUUAUGCUCUGGGCUACACAGGCGCUACAGUGGCAAGGACAAUGAGUAGCGAGAGUGCAAGCUCAAGCUAAUCUCACAAACCUU